AACGAACGCUGGCGGCGUGCCUAAAACAUGCAAGUCGAGCGAGAAAGUUCCUUCGGGAAUGAGUAAAGCGGCGCACGGGUGAGUAACACGUGGGUAAUCUACCUAAAGGAUUGGGAUAACAUGUCGAAAGACGUGCUAAUACCGAAUAAGCUCACAGGGACAUAAGUCCUAGGGAGAAAAGAUGGCCUAUGCUUGCAAGCUAUCACUUUUAGAUGAGCCUGCGGCCCAUUAGCUAGUUGGCGGGGUAAUGGCCCACCAAGGCUGUGAUGGGUAGCUGGUCUGAGAGGACGAUCAGCCACACUGGAACUGGAACACGGUCCAGACUCCUACGGGAGGCAGCAGUUAGGAAUUUUGCGCAAUGGGGAAAACCCUGACGCAGCGACGCCGCGUGUGCGAAGAAGGCCUUCGGGUCGUAAAGCACUGUCACUCGGGAAGAAUCUGAUGGAGGGGAAAGUUCUCCAUUACUGACGGUACCGAGAGAGGAAGCACCGGCUAACUCCGUGCCAGCCGCCGCGGUAG
rnacentral:rRNA from 1 species